rnacentral:rRNA from 1 species
AUUGAACGCUGGCGGCAGGCCUAACACAUGCAAGUCGAGCGGCAGCGGGAAAGUAGCUUGCUACUUUUGCCGGCGAGCGGCGGACGGGUGAGUAAUGCCUGGGGAUCUGCCCAAUCGAGGGGGAUAACUACUGGAAACGGUAGCUAAUACCGCAUACGCCCUACGGGGGAAAGCAGGGGACCUUCGGGCCUUGCGCGAUUGGAUGAACCCAGGUGGGAUUAGCUAGUUGGUGAGGUAAUGGCUCACCAAGGCGACGAUCCCUAGCUGGUCUGAGAGGAUGAUCAGCCACACUGGAACUGAGACACGGUCCAGACUCCUACGGGAGGCAGCAGUGGGGAAUAUUGCACAAUGGGGGAAACCCUGAUGCAGCCAUGCCGCGUGUGUGAAGAAGGCCUUCGGGUUGUAAAGCACUUUCAGCGAGGAGGAAAGGUUGGUAGCUAAUAACUGCCAGCUGUGACGUUACUCGCAGAAGAAGCACCGGCUAACUCCGUGCCAGCAGCCGCAGUAAGAU